GCCUCUGUGGUGAAGUGGUUAGCAUGCGUCCCCCGGUAUGGAUGAAACGCGGGUUCAACACCCGUCUGUGGUC